AUUCCAUUAAAUCUAAAUGUUUGCGUUAUUGUGUUUUUUGUUGUUUACCGUGUUUUCGGAUGCUCAGAGAUUCCAGCUUAAUUGCCAAUAUGGAAACGGACAGCUCUGUUUGUAACCAGAAAGAAAAGUUUCCAGAUGUAAGAGCCAAAACCAGAGCCAAGUACUACUGGAGUACAUUUCCCAAGCCUUCUAUCAGUGUUUACCCAUGGAGAGAUGAACUAGAGUAUGCUGCCAAGCUGUCUUUCUCCAACCCACUCUAUGAGGAAACCAGAAGCUGCGAGGCCUGAGGAUAAACACACACACACAUACACACAAAGACACACACACACAAAGACACACAAUGACACUACAUGCCCUUGCAUGGCUAUACUUUCUGUGUAAUUUGAGCCUCCUUGGCUGCAUGACUAUACAUGAACAGCGUCCAAAAACUGUAAAAUCCAUGAAAACUUAAUUUCUUUAACUGUCAUGGGAAAACAGUGAAAGCAACUGCAAAUUAUCAGCUUAUUACUCAACAUAUUAUAGGCUGUGUUCAGCGAUUCUGGAGUGGAGAAAAGUGGCCAUGUUAAGUACUAGGAAAACACACUUAUUAGAAGUCCAUAAUUCUUCAAUUAAGACUGUAAAUCUGCUGCUCAUUUCCUCUUUUUUUCCAGCCUGUGUGGUUUUCAGUAUUAUUCAUAUAACAGACUCGGCUAUGCUCCGCUGCGAAACACGGGGUUCAUUUCACAUUUAAAUCAUGGAAACUGCUUUUCUGUUGGACCGCAGCAAACACCAAUAAAAGUGGACAUACUACCCA
rnacentral:lncRNA from 1 species